UAGCCUUGACAUAUAUUAGAAUCCGACAGAGAUGGAGAAGUGCCUUCGGGAGCUUUUAUACAGGUGCUGCACGGCUGUCGUCAGCUCGUGUCGUGAGAUGUUGGGUUAAGUCCCGCAACGAGCGCAACCCUCGUCAUUAGUUACUAACGGUUCGGCCGAGGACUCUAAUGAGACUGCCUUCGUAAGGAGGAGGAAGGUGAGGACGACGUCAAGUCAUCAUGGCCCUUACGGCUAGGGCAACACACGUGCUACAAUGGUCAGGACAGUGAGACGCGAUACCGCGAGGUGGAGCAAAUCUAUAAACCUGAUCUCAGUUCGGAUUGUAGUCUGCAACUCGACUGCUUGAAGCUGGAAUCACUAGUAAUCGUAAAUCAGCUAUGCUACGGUGAAUACGUUCCCGGGUCU
rnacentral:rRNA from 1 species